GCUUUGUACAAAAUCUGUGCGUUUGAGAAAGGGGGGAUUCAAUGAGCAACAAUAUUGUAAGGAAGAAAUUUGCUGAUACCAUCAUUUACACACCAGGGGGCAGACACUCAUGAAGUUAUGAUAUAAUUUCCUUUCUUACAUGAUUCAAACAAUCAUCCAAAUACAUUCAGGUUAUAUCGGAGUAGAGGGUGGAUCUCUAAUCUACUUCUGUACAUUUAGAUUAAACAUGAUCAGACAUCUGAGCACAAUCUUGUUCUUUUUUCUCCCAGGCUUGUCAGUGAGUUCCAGUGUCACACAGGACCCACCCGACGUACUAUGCCAAAUCCACACAGAAUCUGUUGUUUUCCAGUGUUCACACAGCAGUUCAAGCUUUAAUACCAUUAUCUGGUACAAGCAGCUUCUCA